AGGGAAUCUUCCGCAAUGGACGCAAGUCUGACGGAGCAACGCCGCGUGAGCGAAGAAGGUCUUCGGAUCGUAAAGCUCUGUUGUAAGGGAAGAACAAGUACCAGAGUAACUGCUGGUACCUUGACGGUACCUUACCAGAAAGCCACGGCUAACUACGUGCCAGCAGCCGCGGUAAUACGUAGGUGGCAAGCGUUGUCCGGAAUUAUUGGGCGUAAAGCGCGCGCAGGCGGUCUCUUAAGUCUGAUGUGAAAGCCCCCGGCUCAACCGGGGAGGGUCAUUGGAAACUGGGAGACUUGAGUGCAGAAGAGAAGAGUGGAAUUCCACGUGUAGCGGUGAAAUGCGUAGAGAUGUGGAGGAACACCAGUGGCGAAGGCGACUCUUUGGUCUGUAACUGACGCUGAGGCGCGAAAGCGUGGGGAGCAAAC
rnacentral:rRNA from 1 species